rnacentral:rRNA from 1 species
AGAAUGAACGCUGGCGGCAUGCCUAACACAUGCAAGUCGAACGAGACCUUCGGGUCUAGUGGCGCACGGGUGCGUAACGCGUGGGAAUCUGCCCUUAGGUACGGAAUAACUCAGGGAAACUUGUGCUAAUACCGUAUGAUGUCGAGAGACCAAAGAUUUAUCGCCUAGGGAUGAGCCCGCGUAGGAUUAGCUAGUUGGUGGGGUAAAGGCCUACCAAGGCUACGAUCCUUAGCUGGUCUGAGAGGAUGAUCAGCCACACUGGGACUGAGACACGGCCCAGACUCCUACGGGAGGCAGCAGUGGGGAAUAUUGGACAAUGGGCGAAAGCCUGAUCCAGCAAUGCCGCGUGAGUGAAGAAGGCCUUCGGGUUGUAAAGCUCUUUUACCCGGGAAGAUAAUGACUGUACCGGGAGAAUAAGCCCGGCUAACUCCGCGCCAGCAGCCGC